rnacentral:lncRNA from 1 species
GAUCCCCUAGAGCAGAGCGGGGGAGGAGACCCGUUCCUCCGGAGCUGGACGGUGGCUGGGAAGGGGCAGUCCGUGUGAGGGCAGCCUUGGCCUACGGGGUGCGUCGGCUGGACCCAGGCGGACAGGACCUUGGGAGGGAGGGGAGGAGCCCUGUAGGUUCCGCGGAGAGCUACGAGUUUGCUUAGCUCGCAGGACGUCAGAGCUGGUGACGUCCGAUGCAAGGGCCUACGCCACAGCCACAGCAAUGCGGGAUCCGAGUCAUGUCUGCGACCUACACCACAGCUCACAGCAAGGCCAGAUCCUUAACCCACUGAGCGAGGACAGGGAUCAAACCCUCAACCUCAUGGUUCCUAGUCGGAUUCGUUAACCACUGAACCACGACGGGAACUCCGGUAUUUGUCUUUCUCUUUCUGACUUACUUAGUGAUAAUGAUAAUCUCUAGUUUCAUCCAUGUACUGCAAAUGGCAUUAUUUCAUUCCUUUUCAUGGCUCAGUAGUAUUCCAUUGUAUUUGUAUACUAUAUCAUCUUAAUCCAUUUAUCUGUUGAUGGACAUUUAGGUUGUUUCCAUGUCUUGGCUAUUGUGAAUAGUGCUGCAAUGAACAUAGGAGUACAUAUAUCUUUUUAAUCCACCCAUUUUUUUUUUUUUUUUUUUUUUUUUUUUUUUUGGGCCUCCCCCCACCAAAACACAAACNCACGUCUGUGACCAGCACCACAGUUCAGGGCAACACCAGAUCCUUAACCCACUGAACAAAGGCCAGGGAUUGAACCCGCAACCUCAUGGUUCCUAGUUGGAUUCGUUAACCACUGAGCCACGACGGGAACGCCUCUUUUUAAAUUAUAGUUUUGUCCAGAUAUAUGGAUUGCUGUAUCAUAUGGUAGUUUUAUAUUGCCUUUUCUGAGGAACCCGCAUACUGUUUUCCAUAGUGGUUGUAUCAGUUUACAUUCCUCCAGCCAUGCAGGAGGGUUCCACACCCUCUGCAGCAUUUGUUAUUUGUAGCUUAUGAAUGAUGGCCACUCUGACCAGUAAGAGGUGGUAUCUCACUGUAGUUUUGAUUUGCAUUUCUCUAAUAAUUAGUGAUGUUGAACAUCUUUUAUGUGCCUACUGGCCAGCUGUAUGUCUUCCUUGGAGAAAUGACUAUUUAGGUCUUCUGCACAUUUUUCGAUUAGGUUGUUCGUUCUUUUGUCGUUGAGUUGUAUGAGUUUUGUUUUUUUUUUUUGUAUUUUGGAGGUGAAGCCCUUAUUGGUUGCAUCAUUUGCAACUAUUUUCUUCCAUUCCGUAGGUUGUCUUUUCAUUUUGUUUAUGGUUUCCUUUGAUGUGCAAAAGCUUGUAAGUUUGAUUAGUUUCCAUUUGUUUAUUUUUUUCUAUUGCCUUGGGAGACUGACCUAAUAAGACAUUUGUAUGGUUUGUCUUCUCUGCCCCGUUUUUACAUGAGUGAUAGCAUAUCCCAUACAUUCUUCUGCUCCUCACUUUUUUUCAUUUAAUGUACAUCUUGGAAAUAACAACAGUAAUGUAAUAACAGUAAUAUAACAUGAGGGAAACCCACAUGUCUCAUAAUGAGCCUCCACUACGUGUCAGGUGCUGUUCUAAGCACUUCAGAUGUUAUAAUUCACACCGUGCUUGUCAGAAUCCUGUGUGGUAGGUACUUGGUAUGAAUCCCCAUUGUUAAGAGGUUAAGUAAUUUUCCGAGAUUUCACAGCUGAUACUUGGCAGAGGCAAGAUUCAAUCCCGGGCCAUCUGACUUUAGAUUAGUUGUCCUUUGUCCCUGCCCCAUUGCUGCUCACGCUUGUGUCAUGUCACUGUGGACGCUUGCUCUUCCCGAGGGCCAAGGUGGGAGAGAUGCUGGUUAUUGAACUCUUGCCAUGGCCAGGCUCAGGCUGGGAUGCAGCAAAGAAUAAGAAAGACUAGGUCUCUGCUCUCUUAGAACUGGCAUCCCAGGGCCUACAAGUGUCUGUCAGCCAAAGCAGGAGGAGGGAAACCCACGUGUCGCCUACACUCACACGCCCGUGUCCAGUGUGCUGCUCACACGCACCCUGUUCCUUUUAUCCACUGGUCCUUUACUCACUCAGCCUCUGAGCUGGAAGGCCUUGGGGCCCAGUGCUCAAGGUAGGAACGUGGAGGUCUAGACGGAGGAGACACUUGUGAGGGAUCACAGCGUGGCCCUCGUGAACCUCAUCCCCUGCCCCCCCGGGAUCCAUUUCAGCAGGGCUGGUGGAGGCGUCUCUAAUCCAGGGCCCAACCAUUGUUUGAAGUUGGGAACAAUUGAAGGGCAAGGGAGCUAUAGAUAGAUCCACAGCUGCUAUCACCUGUUCCAGCCUGGGCACUGGCCCAAGCAUUGUCUGCAUGGGGGUACUCUACCAAGGCCCACUGCGGGUGGGAGGCUGGUUCAGCCUCGCCCAGCUCUAGAGAGACUGAAUCAGAGGCCCAGACAGAGAAAUACAGAAUCUCAGAGGGUGGAAACCGACAGGGUAACUCAGAAAGACCCAGACCCUUGAGAGAUACUAGAGGCUCCCACCAAAUGCCAGGAACACUGAGGCUGGGUGGGGCUGGGAGAGCUGCACUUGUAUAUUUCUCUCUGGGGCAACCACUUCCCGGACUCUUCCUGAGGCAGUCAGAGGUACUUUGGGGAGUGCUCUUGGAGACCCCUGGGGGCUUUGAAAUGGAGAGGUUGUGGAGUUCCUGUUGUGGCUCAGUGAUAAUGAACCCAACUAGUAUCCAUGAGGACACAGGUUUGAUCCCUUGCCCGGGUCAGUGGGUUGAGGAUCCAGCAUUGCCAUGAGCUGUGGUGUAGGUUGCAGAUGCGGCUUAGAUCCCACAUUGCUGUGAUAUAGGCUGGCAGCUGCAGCUCCGAUUAGACCCCUAGCCCGGGAACUUCCAUAUGCUGCAAGUGGGCCCUAAAAAGAC